rnacentral:rRNA from 1 species
AGAGUUUGAUCCUGGCUCAGGAUGAACGCUGGCGGCGUGCCUAAUACAUGCAAGUCGAACGGCAGCAGCAAUGUUGUAGUGGCGAACGGGUGAGUAACACGUUGGUGACCUGCCCCAAAGAUGGGAAUAUCACCUGGAAACGGGUGGCAAAACCGAAUAAGCUUAUCUGUACCAGAAAAGGAUAAGUAAAAGCGAAAGCUACUUUGGGAGGGGCCUGCGGCCCAUCAGUUAGUUGGUGAGGGUAACGGCCCACCAAGACGAAGACGGGUAGGGGACCUGAGAGGGUGGUCCCCCACAUUGGAACUGAGACACGGUCCAAACUCCUACGGGAGGCAGCAGUGAGGAAUAUUGGUCAAUGGGCGGAAGCCUGAACCAGCCAUGCCGCGUGAAGGAAUGAGGCCCUAUGGGUCGUAAACUUCUUUUGACGGGGAGCAAUAAGGCGUACGUGUACGCCGAUGAGAGUACUCGUCGAAUAAGCAUCGGCUAACUCCGUGCC